UACAGAGGUGGCAAGCGUUGUUCGGAAUUACUGGGCGUAAAGGGCGCGUAGGCGGCCUACUAAGUCAGACGUGAAAUCCCCCCGGCUUAACCUGGGAACUGCGUCUGAUACUGGAAGGCUUGAGUAUGGGAGAGGGAUGUAGAAUUCCAGGUGUAGCGGUGAAAUGCGUAGAUAUCUGGAGGAAUACCGGUGGCGAAGGCGGCAUCCUGGACCAUUACUGACGCUGAGGCGCGAAAGCUAGGGGAGCAAACGGG
rnacentral:rRNA from 1 species